UUUAUUUUAAAGGCUUUGCGGGGCGGGGAGGGCAGUGCUGCUCCAGCACGUUCCCCUCAAGCACCGCGCAUUUCCCAGGCCCUUGGCAGAGCGUGUGUGCCUCUGCUGUCGGCAAAUCCCCUCACAAGAGCUCCCUUGCUGCUCCAUCUGCCUGGAGCCAUGGGAAAUGACCACCAGACCCUCACAGCCCCGGAUGCCGGGAGCGAGCGGAGCACCCAGCCCCGCUGUGGACCCGUCAUUAGGCUGGGAAGCGGCUCCCACUCUGCUGUGCAUCGCCCAGGAGGGGACAGCAGGGCUGCACAGUCACCCAAGCUGACCUGUGCACUGCACCAGCGUGUGCCAAACCUGGCAGCAGCAUCGCCGUACGUGCUGGACCAGGCUCUGCCGGAGGAGGAGCUGAUCCUGCCGUAGCCAGAUGGUCCCUCACUGCCUGUGUCUGGCCAGCAGGCUGGGACUGCUCCAGGCCACAGCAGUACUCUGUGUGUGCCACCGUGGUGGCAGUGCCUUAGUGUGGGGGGACCGUGGAGGACACCAUGGAGAAGAUGGUGUAGGGGACAGGGGUCAGCAGAGGGAUGUGUGGGGGGAUUGCUGUGGGCAGGUGGAGCCUGCUUUGUGUGUUCAGCUAAUUCCAUGCACCUGGAGAGCAACACCCAGGCAGCUGCAGGUGUGUGUGUAAGGCAGCAGCAAAUUGUCCUCCUGUGCUACAGCUCCUCAUCAGAGCCAUGAAUAUGCACGUGAGUAGAUGUGCUGGGCUGGCUCAGAGCUGGAGUCAGAGGUGUGCAGUGAUAAAAAUGCUGUGAUUUAUCUUGUGGGAGGGGCUGGCACAGUGUGAAUAGAGCCAAGCUCACCUUCAUUGCUGCUUAGUGGCACAGAGGCUUAGGAGGUUCAUUUCUCCCUGCAUCCUCAGGGAACACAGCCCAUUCACCCACCCACCUGUUCCACAUCCAUCCACCACCAGCCAGAGGGAUGCCAGAGCUUCCAGGGUGACUGAACUUACUUGGGUAAAGAACAAAGCUCUGACUGGUACUUCAGCUGCAGUUUGCUUUGCUAAGUGCUCCAGCAUCAGCCCAUGGUGGGGAUCAGAUCAUGUCUUGGGGGGAUGGGAGCUCCUUGUGAGGCCCCAGCACUGUGGAAGAGUGGUGGCUGCCCAGGGCUUGAGAGGACACUUCCCACUGAGCUGCAGCACAGCAGGGACCCAGGAGUGAGGAGCAAACACUUAACAGUGCCCCGCGCUGCAUUUGGGGCUUAUUUUCUCCUCUGGUUUCAUUUAUUGAAGAGGAUCCAAUGGCAAAAAUCACAAUUCUUCUCUUAAAAUUGAAUUGAAGCCCAUAGAAGAUGCUCUAGGGGAGCUCACCCAGGACCAGUCAUGCCCUGGCACAGCUUCUACCUUGCCAGUGUGGGUCCAGGUGACAUGUCACAGCCUGUCUGGCCAGCUUGUAAGGACAGGGAUGGAUCAGGCUGGAGAUCCAGCAGGUGCCUCCCAGGCAGGGCUGGAGAUGACACCAGCCCAGCACCAGCCACAGCAUGUCCUUGCUGCAGACUCAACAUCAUCCUGGGCUGGAGUAGUUCCAUCCUUUAGCUCCUCUGAGGCCACAAGAUGGGGACCAGACAGUUUUCAGGAAGUAGAAAUGCUCCAGGCAUGACCAAAGCCCAGCUGCAGUGCAGGCAGGGCAUGGGGGUGGCUGUCCAGCCCUCACAAAUGACCUGACUUCAGCUCCCAUGGGCCUGUGAUGGUUUGCCCUGCCCAAGAAUGGUCCUUUGGCCAGCUCCCAGAUUUGGGCACCCUGAGCUGGGUCACAACCUUUGCCUGGUUUUGGCUCCUACCAGACAGGUUUAGAGAGAUUCAAAAACCAUGGGGCUCCUCACCCCAUGGCUGGGGAGUUCAGGUCACCACGGUGCAGAAGGACACGUCCAUUGGAGUUUCCAGAGGCUGUGAGCUGAGGGAGCUGCUUCGUCCUCCUCAGGAAAGGGAGAUGCUAGUGGAAAUCACACAGCAAAGGGCUGGGGAAACACUUGUCCGACGAGGCGGUGUGGCUGUUUCCAGCAGGAGACUGCAGCCAAGGGCUCCAGCCAAGGAUGCCACGGCUGGGUGCAGGGUCCCACUGUGGCCAGAGCAGAGCAGGGACCAGGCUCCUGUCCCACUGCCACUGGCACAGCCACGUCCUGGAGGGUGACACGUGCCAGUACAGCUCAAUCUCCUCUUCGGGACCCUGCAGCUCCAGAAUAAAUGUCAGCGAAGCAGAGGAAGGGGCCAGCACCGAGAGCUAUUCAAGGUGCAGCCCCUGAAGAGCUGCAGGACGGUUCUCUGGAAGGAACCCCAGGCUGUGCUGGCAGGAGCAGCUGUUUACUGCUCCUGCUGAAAUGUGCAGCGUUCCCAUCCUCUGACCUCCCAGCCUUCUCUGAAACCAGCCAUGGAGAAAGACAGAGCUGUCGGCCAGCCAGGGCUGCUGCUCCCCACGUCCUCUGCUCAGCUCUUCCCUUACUGAGCUAGCACAGAUGUUUUCCCCCAUAUUCUGAGACUGGAUUUUUAAAAAAGGGAAUGAAAGCAAGAAAAAAACACCUUCUGACAUGCUGGAGUUUCCUGCCAGGCUGAAGUGGCUGUCAGUCCUUCAGUCCCUGGGACAGGGGACAGGGGCAGGGGUUACUGCAGCUGUAACUGCAGUCCCAAGGCUCACCCACAUGAACCUGCCUGAGCCCCACUCCUUUGACCCCACAGCUGCCCUUGUCAGCACCUGUCCAUGGGGUCAGUGCCCUUCAAGUUAGAACAAAGUGCCAGGAAUAGUGCAGGGCUUUCACUGCAGGACCACGGGAAGGACAUGUCCCAAAUUCAGGGGACAAGAGGUGUCGGUUUGGAGUGAGACAUGGUCCCAGUUCACCCUGAUGCUCUCUUCCCAAGCAGCCCUGGCCUGCCAUGGCCACAACCACCCCUGUGAAAUGGCUCUUGGAGCUUUCUUAGCCACAGGACAGGCUGUGGCCAGUGUGGGGUGAGGGUUGUUCAUCCCACAGAAGUGCCAAAGCCUCUCAGUAGUGCUAAAGGGGCUUGUGGGGCCCCCUCGGCUCAGGAGCCCAGCGCUGCUCAUCCCAGCCACAACCCACCACAGCCUCCUCUGCAGGGCAGAGCAGCUCCCAAAACCCUCCCAGACCUCCAAGACGUUUUCUUUGCUUGCAUUUCCCCGAGCCAGUGGUGACUGCAGUGUCAGAGGGGCGAGCACGUCUCCCCAGGCUGCUGGUGUGGGUGGGAAGUGGGAUGCUGACCAAGGCUUGGCUGCCGGAGGAGAGGAGAGGAGCCACACCCUCCUCUUAACAGGAACCGUCUGAUGGCUCCGGAGAGGUGGAUGGAUGGAUGGAUGGAUGGAUGGAUAAGGCACGGCCCCCAUCAGCCUGCUCUGGAUGAAAGCCAUGUUCAGCAGCGGGCUGAUGGCCACUCCCUGAAAAUGUGUGCUGCAGGCUGAUGUUCCUGCGAGGAAUGGGCAGCCCUGUCUGGGCUUUUCCAACCUCCACAGUUUCCCCUGGCUCCCCUGCCCGUGGGUGUGGGGUUCCUGCAGAGUGUGACCAUGGUGAGGGGGGACACGUGGGACAUCCUCAGAGCUGAUGUUGAGGAUAGCAUCUCCAGCUCAUUGUUGCAACCUCUCUCCCACCCUGCUGGGAUUUUUCAGGGCUGAGAUUCCUGCCUGGAUGGAUCUAAUCACUCAUUCAAAAAAAUGUGUUUUCACCCUUGGGUGGUGUUUUGGAAGGAUUCACGUGAGAGCUGAGCCGUGGCCCUUGCUCAGGAGCUGAGCUGUGGCCCUCAGGGGCAGCAGGUCCCUGGGGGAGAGCAGGUCCUCAGGACCCCCCUUGCCCAGUAAGAACUGCAUGAAGGCACGAGGGAGUACAGCCACUGCUGUUCCCUCGCAGCCUCAGACACCCCUGGUGUUUCUGGCUGCUCCUCCUGGACCCAUCUCUGCAGAGCAAGCUUAGCAGGAACUCCACGAGCACAGUGUUCCUGGUUCUUCCUAGGAAGCACUUACAGCCUCACUUUGGCUGGGAAUAUGGCAGCACUUACAGACCAGGAACAUGGAUUGGCUUCAACUAUGUGUCUCCUUGGAGUCUGCAUCAUCCUAAGUCAGCAUGUGGGAUGCGUUCCCCUCGUGUGGAAGCAAGCGCUGCAGCGUGCCUUGGCAGCCGCUCCUCCAGCUGUAGGGAGCUCCGUGGUGCUCCAUGGAGGCAGAGGUGGGAUGCAGGAUGGCUCCCCAUGGCACCUGUGCAAGUUAUCCAUGCAUUGAGGCACCAGUGGCUGCGGGCUGUGCUUUGGGGAGCAGAUGACCCUUGAGGAGGGGCACAGGAACCCACCAGGGACCCACCUGGCUGCUGAGGAACCCAGCAGUCCUUUGGGGGUGCGUAUCCAGCUCCCAGCCUGGUCUGCACUCCUGGGUGCCCAGCCCUGUGCCCAUUGCCCUGCAGGUGCUGGCACAGGGCUGGCCACACGCCAGUCCCCGCGCGUGCACAGGAGCUCCAGGCUGCCAGCACAAAGUCUGGAUUGAGCAGGAGCUGGCGCAGCGCCCAACAGGCCAAGGAUGCUGGCAGGGAGAAUCUUCUCCUUAGCUGUGCCAGCGGGUUCUGCCAUCCCCCUCUUGCUCUCCCGCUGCCUGCCCACCUUGGCACCGGGAUGCCUGGCAGGGAAUCAGGCUGGCACCUUGGGCAGCGGCAGGCGUGUGGCUCUGCGGGAGUACCCAUCAACACGGGGGUGACCGUCCCCUGUCUGUCUGCUGGAGCCUGACCCCA
rnacentral:lncRNA from 1 species